UAGAGUUUGAUCAUGGCUCAGGACGAACGCUGGCGGCGUGGAUUAGGCAUGCAAGUCGAGCGACGGACACCCUUCGGGGUGUUACGGAGCGGCGAACGGGUGAGUAACACGUGAAUAACCUGCCCAUAUGUUCCGGAUAAUUGGCCGAAAGGCCUUGUAAUACGGGGGAGGAUCGGUCUUUGGCAUCUUAGACCGAGGGAAGUCGCAAGACGCAUAUGGAGGGGUUCGCGGAUUAUCAGGUAGUUGGUGGGGUAACGGCCUACCAAGCCUACGACGAUUAGCUGAGUMUGCUAGAGGAWGGUSMGCCACWUUGGAACUGAGACACUGUYCMGAMUCCWWCGGGARGCUGCAKUCGAGAAUYUUGGUCAAUGCACGAAAGUGUKAACCAGCGACSYCGCGUGAAGGAUGAAGGCCYUCUGGGUYGUAAACUUCUUUUKUGRGAGARGAACMCAAUGACGKWWUCUCASGAAUAAGCMMCGGCUAACUACKKKCCAGCCAGYCGSSGUAAUAUCGUAGGUGGCAAGCGUUUGUCSGGAUUUACUGGGCGUAAAGCGAACGCAAGGCGGAUUUUUAAGUAGAAAGUGAAARGUUGGAGCUCAACUCUAACACUGCUCCCUAUUACUGGAAAUCUUUGAGUGCCGRRRAGGAAAACGGAAUCAAGUUGUKUAGCGGUGAAAUGCGUUGAUAUAACUUGGAACACCAAUGGCGAAAGCAGUUUUCUGGACGGAUWCUGACGCUCAUGUUCGAAGGCCAAGGUAGCMAACAGGAUUAGAUACCCUGGUAGUCUUGGCYYUWAACGAUGCUCACUAGKUGUUGGGGGGUAACCCUCGGUGCCGCAGCCUAACGCCAUUAAGUGAGCCGCCUGGGGAACUACGGCSGCAAGKUUGAAACUCWAAGGRAUUGGCSGGGGAACCGCACAGGCGUGUGGASYAUAUGGCUUAAUUCGAUKSMACGCGAAGAACCUUACCAGGGCUUGACAUGCACCUGCAAGCUGCCGAAAAGCAGUCGCUUUCGAAGGUGGUGCACAGGUGGUGCAUGGCUGUCGUCAGCUCGUGUUGUGAAAUGUUGGGUUAAGUCCCGCAACGAGCGCAACCCUCAUGUUUUGUUACCAGCGAGUAAUGUCGGGGACUCGAAACAAACUGCCUCUGUAAAGAGGAGGAAGGCGGGGAUGACGUCAAGUCAGCAUGCCCCUUACGCCCUGGGCUGCACAUAUGCUACAAUGGCCGGCACAAAGAGUUGCCAACUCGCGAGAGUGAGCUAAUCUCAAAAAACCGGUCUCAGUUCGGAUCGAAGUCUGCAACUCGACUUCGUGAAGUCGGAAUCGCUAGUAACCGCCGGUCAGCAAUACGGCGGUGAAUACGUUCCCGGUCCUUGCACACACCGCCCGUCACGCCACGAAAGUCUGUCUCACCCGAAGUCGCUGCGCUAACCGCAAGGAAGCAGGCGCCGAAGGUGGGGCCGAUGAUUGGGACGAAGUCGUAACAAGGUAACCGUAA
rnacentral:rRNA from 1 species